UACGAAGGGGGCUAGCGUUGCUCGGAAUCACUGGGCGUAAAGGGUGCGUAGGCGGGUUUUAAGUCAGAGGUGAAAUCCUGGAGCUCAACUCCAGAACUGCCUUUGAUACUGAGAAUCUUGAGUUCGGAGAGGUGAGUGGAACUGCGAGUGUAGAGGUGAAAUUCGUAGAUAUUCGCAAGAACACCAGUGGCGAAGGCGCUCACUGGCCCGAUACUGACGCUGAGGUGCGAAAGCGUGGGAGCAACAGG
rnacentral:rRNA from 1 species